rnacentral:tRNA from 1 species
GUGUCUGUAGCUCAGCUGGAUAGAGUGUAUGCCUCCGGAGCAUAAGGUCAGGGGUUCGAAUCCCCUCAGACACGCCA